rnacentral:lncRNA from 1 species
AUGGGAGAGAGGACUGUUUCUGAUUCUUUUUGUGGUGAGUUUUUCCUUCUAGUCAUUUUGCUCAGUGCAAAGUGGCCAAAAACAAGUUGUACUGGAAAAAGGAGAAAAAAGAGAGAAAAAAUAAAGAAAAAAAGGGGAGGGGGAAACAAACAGAAAACAAAAAACAAGGAGGAGUAUAAUUUGAUUCUAUACUGUAAAUCCCUCGACUUCCAUGGAAUUUCCAGCGCUGCUUGGUCAAGAACUUACUUUUCCCCUGUCCUUCCAGCUGGUCUUCUGGGGGAGAGUCCUGCUGUUCUGAUUCUCAGGUGUUUGCACCUAGGGGAGCUGCCUAGCACCCUGCCAGGUGCAUGGCUCAGUGGGAGCUGUUUAUCCUGUGAGGCUCCUGCUCAGUCCCAGGAACAAGGUGACACCAGGAGGAACAAUAACAGUGGUGGUAGCCAGCUCUCCAGCUCUGGAGUCACUUCCUGCAGUAACUUCUGCAGUCUCCCAGUCCACAGGUGUUGGAUGCUUCGGGGGCGGGGGGCACUGAUCUGCACAGCUCGGGGCCACAUGGCAGCAGGAACGUCCUUGCUGCCCUGUGUCCUCACGGCCUCCGCCUGUCCCAGGGGGACGCAGGAUCCUGGGCUGUGUCCCCUAGUGCCCUUGGCUCCCGGGCCUUCACAGCUGGAAUCACACUUCCAGGACUUCGCAGCCCCCUCCUUGCAGAGCCGCCACCUGAGCUGCUCCUGGGCCACAGAGCGCUGGCUCCAGCCCUUUAGGGAGCUGGGCCCAAGGUGUGUGGUGUGCUCUCCCCCCAGACGCACCUCCUCUGUUAGUGCUUCUGGGAGCCUGAUGGCAUCCCUGCCUCUCCUGGGAUCUUGCCCCAGCUCCCUGCAAGCGCCUUUCCAUCUGGGAAGAUUGGUAAAGCUCCUGCUUCUCCGGGACUGGGUUUUCCUGUCCUGGGAGCACUUGCCACCAGGCCUUAGCCCAGCUCUUCAUGGGGGCCCCCUCCCCCUUGGAUGCUUUUUUAUUUCUUUAUUUUCUUUCCAUCUUCAUACCUUGAUAGAAGCAUAA